AACAACUCCAGUAAAAAAGAAAUAAAGGUCACCACAAAAUUCUCUUUCUUAUUCUUUGUAUGAAUAUAUUUAUAUUAUAUCUUUAUACCCUCUUUCAUUCUUUCUGGUAAACACAUUUGCAGGAUAACCUUUUUUUGCAAUCACUUUUGCGUUUUGCGGAACAAAGAUAAUUUAUAUCAAAACUUAUUUACCCUAUUCCAUUACUUAAAUGUUCCACAAUUUUCUUUUUACAAAAUUUUAACAUCAACCACAACUAAAAUUUAUUUAUUCUUAAAUAGUUCUUUUGUAGGGAAAUCAAUUCUCUUUUGAAGCUUGCUUUUGACUUGUUGUCUUGCAACUAUAUGUUCCAACAACAUAUACAUCCAUCAAACAAAGCAAUGAUUGUGUGAAAGGAGCUUCAAACAACUGUGUUGGCUGAGAUCGAAGAGGGGCGAUGUUCCCUAUUUCUUUAGGGAUUUAGUAUGUCAAUUCGUCCUCUAUGAAAUUCCAAUCAGGGUUGGUCUCAUAAGCGUAAUUGAAGGAGAAUCUUACCAUAGCUUAUAGAUGAGAGAAGAAAAAGAGCAGGUCAAGGAUCUCGAGUUCUCAUUUGUGCCCAUAGAGCGCUCUUAAGCAGAAGAUUGGAAUUGGGCGACAAGUUUAGUCUACCACAACAUUCUGUUAUGUCAUUUAGUCACUCAAAAGAAAUUGUCCCUAAAAGUAUCUUUGACUUGGUGAAUGUUGCAGCACUUACAAUAGAGGAUGUCGCAAGUAAUCUCCAGUUUGUCAAUUAUUGAAGUGAAGAAUGGAAACAGAAAGUGAUGUUAAUGCUCCUAGUGGAACUGCAACUGUUGGCGCGACUGCUGGUAUUACUGUUGGUACUACUGUUGGCACUACUGUUGGGCCGACAAAUGUUGCAUCGUCAAGUCGUCCAACUGCUGCACACGCGAUGGCACCGGCAGAGAAACCAGGGAGGUUUUCUGGUAUCAACUUCAAAGGAUGGCAGCAAAGAAUGCUUUUCUGGCUGACUACUCUAGGCAUGCAGAAGUUCACAAAUGAAAAUCCUCCUGCUACUGAAGAGGGAAUGCCUGAAAACCCGCGCUUUAUGAUUAUUGAGGCUUGGAAGCAUGCAGAUUUUUUGUGCAAAGGAUACAUCCUUAGUGCACUAGAUGAUGAUCUGUAUAAUGUCUACAGUUCUGCCAAAACUUCAAAAGAAUUAUGGCUUGCACUCGAAAAGAAGUAUUAAACUGAAGAUGCAUGCUUGAAAAAAUUCGUGGUUGCCAAGUUUCUUGACUACAAGAUGACAGACAGUAAAACUGUUGGAACCCAAGUUCAAGAACUCCAAGUCCUUAUCCAUGACCUUAUUGCUGAAGGUAUGGUGAUCAACGAGGCAUUUCAUAUUUUUCAUAUGAAAAUGACAGAGGUUGUAGAUUUAGAGGUUCCUAUAGAAGAUAUUUCAAUAACAUCAACAAUUGUUGUAACUCAAGCACAUGGUAAUGCCCUAAUACUUCUUCCGCGGGUAAUCCUCCUAAAAAGCAGAAAAGAACAACUUCUUGUAGUCGAGACCCUAGCCUUGGGGAUAAUGAAAGAAAAACAUCUGAAAUUUGGAAUCAUUACACAAAGUUUUUUAAUAAAAUGGGAGAAUUGAGGGCAAAAUGCAAGUACUGCCCCAAAGUUUCGGAUCAUUACACAAAGUUUUUUUUAUUUCAUAUAUUUUCAUUUUAAUUUUAAUUUUAGGUAGUCUUUAUGUUUAAUUAAUAUGUAUGUUUGUAACAACAACUAAAAGCUCCUAUGCUCUACUUUAUUUCCAGGCAUGUGUAUUAAGAUGAUAAAAA